CUAAACAACAAGAUUAGGGUGGCGAUGGUCAGUUCUCGAGCUUCGAACGGGCAGAAAGAUCAGGGCGGCGAUGCUCAGUUCUUGAGCUUCGAACGGGCAGAAAGCUAAAAAACAAAAUCAGGGUGGCGAUGAUCAGUUCUUGAGCUUCGAACGGGCAG